CAAUAGCGUAUAUUAAAGUUGUUGCAGUUAAAAAGCUCGUAGUUGGAUUUGUGGCGUACGGUGUGUUCCGGGCACUUGUUGUCUGAGUAACCUGCUGAUGCCAUCCUUGGGUGGAACCUGUGUGGCAUUAGGUUGUCGUGCAGGGGAUGCCCAUCAUUUACUGUGAAAAAAUUAGAGUGUUCAAAGCAGGCUUAUGCCGUUGAAUAUAUUAGCAUGGAAUAAUGAGAUAGGACUUUUUUGCUAUUUUGUUGGUUUGCGCAAAGAGGUAAUGAUUAAUAGGGACAGUUGGGGGUAUUCGUAUUCCAUUGUCAGAGGUGAAAUUCUUGGAUUUUUGGAAGACGAACUACUGCGAAAGCAUUUACCAAGGAUGUUUUCAUUAA
rnacentral:rRNA from 1 species